rnacentral:rRNA from 1 species
AGACGUCUACAUUAGAUACCCGNGUAGUCCCAGCCGUAAACUAUGCGCGUUAGGUGUAUCGGUGACCACGAGUCACCGAGGUGCCGAAGGGAAACCGUGAAACGUGCCGCCUGGGAAGUACGGUCGCAAGGCUGAAACUUAAAGGAAUUGGCGGGGAGCACCACAACGGGUGGAGCCUGCGGUUUAAUUGGACUCAACGCCGGGAAGCUCACCGGAUAAGACAGCGGAAUGAUUGCCGGGCUGAAGACUCUGCAUGACUAGCUG